rfam:Lutzomyia longipalpis Contig29706, whole genome shotgun sequence.
GCCCGGGUAGCUCAGUGGCAGAGCACUGGUCUCGUAAACCAGGGGUCGUGAGUUCAAACCUCACCUCGGGCA